rnacentral:rRNA from 1 species
AGGGUUUGAUCAUGGCUCAGAACGUACGCUGGCGGCACGCCUAAUACAUGCAAGUCGAACGAAGUAGCAAUACUUAGUGGCAGACGGGUGAGUAAUAUGUAGGUAUCUUCCCAUUGGUGAGGAAUAACACGAGGAAACUUGUGCUAAUACCUCAUAAGUCUUUACGGAGAAAGCUUUAUGCGCCGAUGGAUGAGCCUGCACUUGAUUAGUUUGUUGGUAGGGUAAUGGCCUACCAAGACAAUGAUCAAUAGCUGAUUUGAGAGGAUGAUCAGCCACAUUGGGACUGAGACACGGCCCAAACUCCUACGGGAGGCAGCAGUAGGGAAUCUUGCACAAUGGGGGAAACCCUGAUGCAGCGAUGCCGCGUGAGUGAAGAAGGCCUUUGGGUUGUAAAGCUCUUUCGUCGGGGAAGAAAAUGACUGUACCCGAAUAAGAAGGUCCGGCUAACUUCGUGCCAGCAGCCGCGGUAAUACGAAGGGACCUAGCGUAGUUCGGAAUUACUGGGCUUAAAGAGUUCGUAGGUGGUUAAAAAAGUUGGUGGUGAAAUCCCAGAGCUUAACUCUGGAACUGCCAUCAAAACUUUUUAGCUAGAGUAUGAUAGAGGAAAGCAGAAUUUCUAGUGUAGAGGUGAAAUUCGUAGAUAUUAGAAAGAAUACCAAUUGCGAAGGCAGCUUUCUGGAUCAUUACUGACACUGAGGAACGAAAGCAUGGGUAGCGAAGAGGAUUAGAUACCCUCGUAGUCCAUGCCGUAAACGAUGUGUGUUAGACGUUGGAAAUUUAUUUUCUGUGUCGCAGCGAAAGCAAUAAACACACCGCCUGGGGAGUACGACCGCAAGGUUAAAACUCAAAUGAAUUGACGGGGACCCGCACAAGUAGUGGAGCAUGUGGUUUAAUUCGAAGAUACGCGCAGAACCUUACCAACACUUGACAUGUUCGUCGCGACUUUAAGAGAUUAAAGUUUUCGGUUCGGCCGGACGAAACACAGGUGCUGCAUGGCUGUCGUCAGCUCGUGUCGUGAGAUGUUGGGUUAAGUCCCGCAACGAGCGCAACCCUCACUUUUAGUUGCCAUCAUUUAGUUGGGCACUCUGAAAGAACUGCCAGUGAUAAGCUGGAGGAAGGUGGGGAUGACGUCAAGUCCUCAUGGCCCUUACGUGUUGGGCUACACACGUGCUACAAUGGCAUUUACAAUAGGAAGCAAGACGGCGACGUUUAGCAAAUCCUAAAAAAAUGCCUCAGUUCGGAUUGUACUCUGCAACUCGAGUACAUGAAGCUGGAAUUACUAGUAAUCGCGGAUCAGCGCGCCGCGGUGAAUACGUUCCCCGGGUCUUGU